CCAUGACCCUGCCAAAUCCCCCUCUGUGAGAAACACCCAAGAAUUAUCAAUAAAAAAAUAAAUUAAAAAAAAAAAUAAAUAAAUAAAUCCAGCAAAAAUAAAAAUAAAAAAUAAAAUCCCCUUGAAUACAUUUGAGGUAAUGUUGUAGUUUUCAGCUCCUCCCACGAGAGAUUUUAUGGAGUGCCUAACUGUGCUACCCGGGUGCUGCUCCUGUCGUUAGUGGUGGCACCCAGGAGGAAUUAAAAUUACAAGAGUGUUUCCUUCCAGAUGUUGUUGCUACAGGCUCAAGGUGCUCUUUUAACUGGGACAUCAGGCUUUCUUGAAAUAGACAAGAAUUCUAGAAACAUGACAUUGUGCCUGAUUCAUCGCUUCAACUUGCCACUGACUCAUUCUCUCCUUGAUAGGUUAUUCAACAGUAACUUUAAUUACAUCAUUUACUUAUUGUUUUCUUCCUUGAUUUAUUCUCUUUCUACAAUUCUUGUUUAUCAUCUCAGUGAUUGGACCAUCUCACCUCUGAGACUUGGGUAGAAUUCUGUGGACUCUGGAAAUAGACAUGGAGGUUUUCAUGUAUCUCUGUUAAUGUGUACAAACACCCCCAGGCUUGUACACUUGAAAUACAUCAGUAGGAAGGGUAGUUCUCAAUUUGCUAGUGUUUCACACAGCUUGUCUUAUUUAAUGAUCUCAGCUGCCCUAUGAAGUAGAUACCAUCCUAUUAAAAAAUGCAGGAGCAGAGGCUCUGAGAGGGGACUGUAACUUACCCAAGAUCAUGUGGUAGAUUGCAAAACUGGUUCCAAAUCCCUACCCUUCCCUGUACGCACACCUUUUGCCAUUCAUCUGCAAUGUCCUUUUCUGAUUCUGGGCUCAGCAAUAUAACUUGCUCUGGCCAACAGGAUAACAACAGCAAAUGUGAUGUAAGCAAAAGCUUGAGAAAUACUUGUGCAACUAAUCAUGUUUGCCUUCUCUCUUGUACCUGUGCCAUUGCCAUGAGAACAUGCCUGGGCUAGGAUUAGAGACACUUGGAGCAGAGCUGAGUCAUCCCAGCUGUCCCAGUUGAGGCCAGCCUAGGUCAGUCGAUGGCAACCAAGCCCUAAGCAUGUUAGUGAGCCCAGCCAUGAUCAGCACAACCACCUAGCCAACCAUCCCAGACCUGUGAUCAAUAAAGCCUUACUAUUCCAUACCACCUAGGUUUUGUGAUUAUUUAUUUCACAGAAUUAUUAUGGCAGUAUGUAACUGAUAGAAGCGGUGUACAGGGAAGAGUAUUUGUUAGUCCGUUUUCACACUGCUGAUAAAGACAUAUGCGAGACUGAGCAAUUUACAAAAGAAAGAGGUUUAAUGGACUUACAGUUCCACGUGGCUGGGGAAGCCUCACAAUUGUGGUGAAAGGUGAAAGUCACAUCUCACAUGGCAGCAGACAAGAGAAGAAGAGCUUGUGCAGGGAAACUCCCCUUUUAAAAACCAUCAGAUCUCAUGAUACUUAUUCACUAUCAUCAGAAUAGCCUGGGAAAGACCUGUCCCCAUGAUUCAGUUACUUCCCACCGUGUCACUCCCACAACAAGUGGGAAUUCAAGAUGAGAUUUGGGUAGGGACACAGCAAAACCAUAUUAGAGCAGAUCUCUGGAAUUGGGCAGGCCAAGGUUUGAAUCCCAUCUGUUAUUUGGAGUGUGUGUUUCUUUUUGAGACUAAUCUCCUUACCCUUGAAAUGAGGUAAUAUACUUCCCUCAUAGGGUUGCUGGGAAGAUUAAACACGAGGUGAAGUAAAUAAAGCCCCAGGGACAUAAGCAAAAAAUAAUGGCUUCUCACAGCAAUGCUCCAGAACAUACAACAAGGGAAUACUGGGCCCAGUCCCAGGACUAUCCAAGUGUGAAGCCAACACCUUUUCACAUCAACUCCAAGUUCCAUGGGCUGACUGGACUCCACUGGGAGUUCUUGAUGUCUCUCGUGUGGUUGUGUGAGAUAGUGGCUGGGACUGGACUCAUCUGAAGGCUUGACUGGGCUGGAUGCCCAAGAUAGCCCACUUUUAGACAGAGGUGGCUGGCAGUUGAUGCUGACUGUCAGCUGGGGACUCAGCUGAGAGUGUUAACUGGAGUCCCUAGACGUGGCUUCUCCACAUGGCUUGGGCUUCUCAUGGAAGGGCACCUGGAUUCUGAGAGAGAGCAUCCCAAGAGACACAAGUGGAAAUGAUAAGGCUUCUUAUGACGUAGACUGGAGGUACUGAGACAUCACUUUUGCUACAUUAGAAGGUUAGAUGCUGACAUUUUAUGAUUUCACAACUUGGAUCCUCUGUCCUCUGAUACUGAAUCAGAUAGUAGUUUAUGGAGCUGAGCAGAGAGCCAGCUGGUCCUGGGCACAGAGGAGGCUGUGUUCCAUGCUGAAGACAAGAACAUAUGGUGGACGUACCAUCCUAACUAUCUGGGAAGGGAGCUUCGUGGCUACAUGGGAGUUAUCAUCUGCCAGUGCCGGCUGCAUCCUGGCUGUGCCCACCUCUGGACUCUGAAUCUCUGCACCUCAGUACCCCCAACCCCAACACGACUGUGAUGUUAGGCAUAUAUUAGGCAUGUGAAGAUGAGAAAGAGAAGAUACAGCUCCCAUGUUUAUCUCCAUGAGAAGAUAAGCCACAGGGAGAGAGAAAGACUGUUGUGCACGAGAGGGAGUGUCAAAUGCCAAAUGGAUGUCAGCAGUCGGGGUGUGCUAGAGGCACUCAGGGGAAGGGAGGCUGGGCAUAGAGGGUCAUGCUGGAGGAGGUGACUCUGGAUCUGAAUCUUGAAAGCCUCGGCAACACGAGCAAAACUCUGUCUCAAAAAAAGAGGCUUCAGAGAGCUGCCUGGCCCUUCUCAUCCUUCUGCCAUGUGAAGACAUAGCGUGCAUCCCCUCUGGAGGGUAUAGGAACAAGGUGUCAUCUUGGAAGGAGAGAGCAAGCCCUCACCAGACACCAAAUCUACCGGCACCUUGACCUCCAGAACUUGCAGUUCCUGUUCUCCUGGCUGGACCCUGACUGAUGCCAUGGGGAAAGCCCUCGGGCUCGUGGACCUUAAAUUCCAGGUCCUGUUGUGCCCAACUCAUGAUUUAUCCAGGUCACACCAGUCUGGUCUGUCACAGUAAGAGGGCCACCAGGAAACACACCUUCAGGAAGCACCUUUUCUGUUCUAUCCCAAAGGGCACCAUCACAUACACUAUAAUAUGAAUCAUGACCCCCGGAGUUGUGUGGAGUUUCUGCAUCUCUCCCUCCCCACUGUGGCUACCCUCAUCCAGCAACCAUCCUGUCUCUCACCGGUAUUACCGCAGCUGAGACCCAGGUCUUAAGGAAGCUGAGACCCAGGCCAGCAGGGGCCUCACAGCUUGGAAAAAGAGGAGGGUGUAAGACUCUGGAUGAAGCUGAGAGAUCCUUCCAUGCUUGGCUGAGAGACUACACAGACAUGAGCUUCAGGAGACUCCAAAGCCUCGGAUCCCCUUCUAAACUAGCACUGAAUUCUGAUUGGCUGUCUUUGCCUGCCUCAGUUUGUUCCUUUUACUGAUUGGCUAGGUUCUUCUGCCCAUGGCAGAGCCCUGCUCCAGCCACCGGAUCCUCCCACCUGCCACAGUGUCACCUGGGAUUGGCUGGGCUCUGAAAGGCCAGGCUGGCUUGACUCUUGCCAUCAUCAGAUUCUUCCUCAUUAAACAAAUGAAUCACAAUCCUAAUUAAUUUGAGCAACAGAAUUUAUGUAACUACUCCCAGCAGGAUGUCUGCUCUCAGUCAGCAGAGAGAUUACUUCCUCUCUCUGGGAAAUUCCAGCCUUGCUGGUCAAUAAGCCUUAAUGAUGACUGAAAUCUCCCAUCUGUCUCUGCUCAGGGCAGGUAACCCCUACUAAGCAGACACCCAGUUGGCUCGAGGCAGUACCCCGGGCACCGGCAGGACAAGGACAACGAUCUCCCAGCCUAGAUGUGUCCUGAGCCACAUGGAGCACACAGUAGGUGUUUACUUAAGGACAGGGGCUGCCCCUUCCAGGGAAGUUCUGAACCACUUAAAACCCACAGGAAGUGUUCAAUGUCUACUUAUGGAAUAAAUGAAAGGGAGGAUGUGUCACUCAGAUACUUAUAAAAUGGUCUCAAGAUCCUAAACUCCAAGCAAGCUUCUCCAGCUCUUUCCAGCCUUUGCUCCCCCUAUUUCCCAUGACCAUAACCCAAUUCUGUCUUUUUCCUAUUUUGAACUUUCCAGACUCAGAAAUUUGGCUCUUCAUGUUCCCUGCCCUUGAACCGUCCCAGCCCUCUCUCCAAAACAGGCUUCAUGCUGGCUGCAUGGGAGGGAGGGGUAGCAAAGUGGAAAGUGUUACAGAAUUAGUGCUAAUUCUGGCUUUGUCACUUACUCAUUGUACUUCACCUCUCUGUUCUUAACUUUUCUCUCAUACAUAAACCACACGGGGUUCUUGGGAAGAUUAAAUAAGAAAACAUGGUGAAAAUGUAUUGCACAGUACUUGACUCAUUUAAUUGGUGACAGACAGUGUUUUAGGUAAUGGAGAUACAGUGGUGCUCAAGGCAGGCAAGAUUCCUGCUCCCAAAGAAUUUAAUUUCCAGGAGACAAGAAGCAAGCUAGCAAAUGUAUAAGAUAAUAGUUAGGGAACAGUACUCAGCAAAAAUAAAAAAUGUAUGGAGAGGGACUGAGGGGAGUGAGGAACUCUUUGAGGAGGUGCCACUCUGAGACCCAAAUGACAAGAAGGAAUUAACCACAUGACAUUCUAGAAAGAGGGAAAAGAGUUGCUGUUAAGAAGAUGUGGGUGUGUUAAAAAAAAAUUGCAAAGUCCCUUAGGUACGAUUGAGCUGCUAAUGAUCAAUCUGAGGCUUCUGCUCUGUGUCUUAUAGGUAAACGGGGUAAGGUUUGGUAGGACUGAAAAAUUCAUCCAGCCACCUAUCUAGGGGGUGUGAGGGUCAAGAUGUGGACCCAGGUCUUCUGCCCUUAAGAGCAGAGUGCUUGUCACUACAGCACAAAGAAGGUGCAAGAGAAAGGAAAAGUGAGUGGGAGGCGGUGAGGGAGGAACAGACUGCCUUGUCCUCCACCAGAUCUAAAUCUGUCUCCUCCUGAUGGUUGGCAGGAUUACAGGAUCUGACUCCCAUUUGGGCCUUCCACCUCCGCUGGCCUAAGCAGUCAAGUGUCAGAGAGCACUGGACCUAACAGCUCCCUCACCAGAGCAGCUGUGAUUCCUUCUUCAUUUCCAGCAGGGAAGACCCAACAACUUUUAUAAUAUGGGAUUUCUUUUAUUCUCAUGAUAAUAAUGUUCAUUGUGGAAAAUAAAAAAAAAUGAUAAAAUAAAAAUCAGCCAGAAUUCCAACUUCUGGAGAUUUUGGUGUCUUUCUGCAAAGUUCCUAUGCACAUAGAUACUUUAUAAAAUUAUGAACAUACUGUACAUACAGUUUUGGAAUAUGCCUUUUUCCUUCUGUCAUGAAAAAGUCUUCA
rnacentral:lncRNA from 1 species